rnacentral:rRNA from 1 species
GAUGAACGCUGGCGGCGUGCCUAAUACAUGCAAGUCGAGCGAACAGACGAGGAGCUUGCUCCUCUGACGUUAGCGGCGGACGGGUGAGUAACACGUGGAUAACCUACCUAUAAGACUGGGAUAACUUCGGGAAACCGGAGCUAAUACCGGAUAAUAUAUUGAACCGCAUGGUUCAAUAGUGAAAGACGGUUUUGCUGUCACUUAUAGAUGGAUCCGCGCCGCAUUAGCUAGUUGGUAAGGUAACGGCUUACCAAGGCGACGAUGCGUAGCCGACCUGAGAGGGUGAUCGGCCACACUGGAGCUGAGACACGGUCCAGACUCCUACGGGAGGCAGCAGUAGGGAAUCUUCCGCAAUGGGCGAAAGCCUGACGGAGCAACGCCGCGUGAGUGAUGAAGGUCUUCGGAUCGUAAAACUCUGUUAUUAGGGAAGAACAAAUGUGUAAGUAACUAUGCACGUCUUGACGGUACCUAAUCAGAAAGCCACAGCUAACUACGUG